rnacentral:rRNA from 1 species
UAGGUAGCUUAACCUUCGGGAGGGCGCUUACCACUUUGUGAUUCAUGACUGGGGUGAAGUCGUAACAAGGUAACCGUAGGGGAACCUGCGGUUGGAUCACCUCCUUACCUUAAAAAA